UACGUAGGGUGCAAGCGUUGUCCGGAAUUAUUGGGCGUAAAGAGCUCGUAGGUGGUUUGUUACGUCCGCUGUGAAAUCCUAGGGCUUAACCCUGGGCUUGCAGUGGAUACGGGCAGACUAGAGGUAGGUAGGGGAGAUGGAAUUCCUGGUGUAGCGGUGAAAUGCGCAGAUAUCAGGAGGAACACCGGUGGCGAAGGCGGUUCUCUGGGCCUUACCUGACACUGAGGAGCGAAAGCGUGGGGAGCGAACAGG
rnacentral:rRNA from 1 species